GCGUGAAUGCGAGAGAAGAAUUCAUACGUCGCGUCGCGUACAGGGAUGCAACCCUUAGAUAAUGGAACUGCAAAUUCACGCCGAAAUGAAUUACAUUAUACUUAAUUAUUCAGAGAGUGAUAAGCUACAUUAAAGGGAGAACGAUGUCGAAGCAAGAAGAAGGGUAAGCAAGGGAUAGAGAAACAGGGUAUUCAAACCAAGACGAGACAGCCACAUUAUCUCGCGGCACGAACGUAAACAUUGACACGAAUUUUUGCAAGCUCUCUCGCUACAUAGAGGUGGAUGAAGUAUAGAAAGGGAAUGGGUGAAGAAGGGGUGGACGAGUCGAUGCAAGACGCAAGCAAAGGCUGCGUGUCGACUUGGAUUUCGAUGGGGGCAAACAGCCGCAAGAUGUUUGCCAGAGUCGAGCAACUGUUUGUAGCAACAACGGUUGUUUAAGUUUCCCUAAUACACGGGUCAGUACGUGCAACAAUGCUGCAAAACAACGUUGCAAGUGCGUAAUCCGGCUUACGCGAUCCAGGCGUCCAGAGCGGGGGCGAUCAGGAGGAGAGGCCGUCACCGGCAUUUAAGGUGGGAAUUAAGGUCCCGAACCCUCCCAGCAACGUCAGUGAAGGUCAGUGAAGGGUUGGUUUUAGUGGGUAGCGUUUCUUCUCAAGGCACAGAUUGAAAACCCCUUGAAAACAAAGGCAUGUCUAGUCUUGUUGAAUCUGUAGUCACUGUUCAUGGUGAAAUACUCAUCGAUCCGAUCGCAGUUGGAUUGCCAAACCACUGACUGCAAUGCAGCCGUCCGUCGACAACCGGUAGUCGCGCGUCGUUCAUACCGUGCUCGCUCACACCACCAUGGGAAAUUUAAUUUCCCAGGCUACAGUUCUCGGAUACACAACCACCCACGGUUAUGACCUCUCCCCUACGUCCUACUUCCCUCACCCUAUCCACACUCGAAAACUGCACAACGGCUGCUGUCAUUUGACAUUCCAACUUUUUUUAUUUAUUGAAAAAUAUUUUAUUAAAUAAUAUCGUUUACAUAGUUGUACUAAUCGUAAGUAGAAUAUAGUUGCCUAAACUAAUUAUACAAAAGAGCUUGUAUGAUGUGUGCCGUUAUCUGUGUCCGUUCGCAACUCCAAAACUCGUAGAAGCGUGUGAAAAUACCGUCAUAAAUGAAAUAUUUUCGAAAUUCGAUCCCACUUCCAUCUAUACAAGGGUGGGCGAAGCUACUUGACGACUUACCCACCGACUUUCCAAAACAGCCAGUGACUACAGAUAGUAGAGGACUGGAUAUGCCUUUGUUCUCAAAGGGUCGUAAAUUUCUGCCAUGAGAACGAACGCCAUCUGCUUUAUCCUAGUAUAAAAAUCAGAAAUACUUCGUACUACAACAGUACAACACACUUUGAUGGUAACAACAGAUUGCUGCGAUAUCAAAAACUAUACCCCAUUGUUCAUUUAAUUUGCUGUAUUUGUUUUCUUAGCUUAUUGAAUAAACUCAUUAGAAGGA